GUGCUCGCUUCAACAGCACAUAUACUAAAAUUGGAACAAUACAGAUUAGCAUGGCCCCUGCGCAAGGAUGGCAUGCAAGUUCGUGAAGCGUUCCUUAUUUUU